GGGGCCAAAGGCCUCACUUCAAUCACUGGCAGCACCGGAACCGCGGGACCCUGCCCAGGGGAGUCAGACCAAGCGCUCAGCGCGCAGUUCUCGCUCUUCGCUUACAGACUAAUAACAGGCUCAGAAAGCACUAAAACGGCCCCUGGCAGCACUCGCUAAAACCUGGCACCCACCACGGAGCGGGCCCCGGAGCGACGAGGAUGGGAUUCGAACCCACGCGUGCAGAGCACAAUGGAUUAGCAGUCCAUCGCCUUAACCACUCGGCCACCUCGUCCGCUGCGUGGGGAAGCUUCGAGUUGGUCCAGGAGAUGAUGCGGUGCUGGGGAGGAAAAGCUCAGCUGCGUAGUCGGCAGGAUUCGAACCUGCGCGGGGAGACCCCAAUGGAUUUCAAGUCCAUCGCCUUAACCACUCGGCCACGACUACCAGACUCCAGCCAGCACCUAGAUAAUUCCCAUGAGGAAUAUUACCUCUCCUGCUCCAGAUUGGAGUUUCUGUUGGGCACCUGUUUUGAAAUGUCUGU